CCCAUGAUCUAGCUUUUGAGGUUGAGUUAGGUGUAACAUCUCACACUCAGUUACACACAUUAAAAAAUCCAUUAGCUACAAUCUCUCUAUCUUCAUAAGUUACACACAUUAAAAACUCCAUCAGUUACAACCAGUCUAUCUUCCUCAGUUGCACACAUUAAAAACCGCCACAUUCUCCAGCAAUUUUACAAAUUAUUUCAUCAUCCAGCAAUCCCAGUUCUCUUGUCAAACUCAACUCUCAAGAAUCUAAGGGAAUUGGUUCAAGAAAACAAGUCUAAUCCUUUCUCCGGAUCUCAAGAUCUCCAAAUGCUUUGAGGUUCUGGCUCUCAAGUAUGUGUUCAGGCGCUUCAUUAGGAUUCCUAACUUUUGCUAUUGGUGAGCCUCUUUCCUACCAGGAGGCUGGAUAAUAUACAAUGAUUUUUUUUGUAUUUUAUUUUCUUUCUGUAUUAGUACUUAUUUGAGGCUUCACAGGCUGGUGUAGUUUUCAAAUAAACUUUUUAAUUUCUAGUCUUUAUCAUGACUAUUGUAUUGUAUAACAUUAAGUGGUGUUAAUAAACCUUGAUGAUAAUAUUUUGCCUUCAA